GACGUAGGGCGCGAGCGUUGUCCGGAUUUAUUGGGCGUAAAGAGCUCGUAGGCGGCUUGUCACGUCGGAUGUGAAAGCCCGGGGCUUAACUCCGGGUCUGCAUUCGAUACGGGCUAGCUAGAGUGUGGUAGGGGGAGAUCGGAAUUCCUGGUGUAGCGGUGAAAUGCGCAGAUAUCAGGAGGAACACCGGUGGCGAAGGCGGAUCUCUGGGCCAUUACUGACGCUGAGGAGCGAAAGCGUGGGGAGCGAACAGG
rnacentral:rRNA from 1 species